CAGCUUCACCUGGAGCCUGGAACUCCAUUGCAGGGCUGCAGGAAACUGGGUGAAAAUCCGCUCCCUAAUCUCUGCUUGUGUAGACGCCUGUCCAAAAACACUUACUCCAGAGUAGCUUAUACCAGAGUAAAUUUGGCCCCAAGUAAAUGCAUGUAUAGAUGCAUCCACUAGAAAUCAAAUAUAACUUUAGAAAAGACAUGAUCUUGGCUUUGAAUGCUUCCUUUUUUUUCUUGUACAGAUAAGGACAGGAAGAGAAAGAGAUAAGAAAAUAGCUGAAGUUAAUGGACACUUUGGACACAUUCAGCGACAAGUUUUGGCCUUUCAAAAAUCCCCUUUGGCUUCUGACCUGCAUAUUUUAUGAUGAAACUUCUUUUGAGUAAAUUAUUGCAGAAAAUUAAAUGGAAUUUCAGCUUCCUUUAUGCUCUACUCAUAUUUCCCUGAAGAUUUAGCUUAUGUGUUGUGAGAGCACAGAAUACAGACAACCAUGAUCUAUGAGAGUCUUUUGAAGACUCAAGAACAACAUAAGGAACAACGGGAGGAACAUGUGGCACUGAGAGAGAUUCACUACAAAUCCAAGCAAACGUCAGGAAUAUGAACAUCCAUGAACUCCCUGAGAGAGCUCAUCUCAUCUUACACAUAGCAGCUUCCAAGACAGUGCCCUUCAACCCAAGUAACAGAGACCCCAGUGCUGCAAAUGCGUAUGUGCUUAACUUUGAGUAGGAAUCAGGACUCAUGGUAGAAGUGAUUUGUUUUAUUAGACCAACUAGAUUUUUGCAAAAA
rnacentral:lncRNA from 1 species